rnacentral:rRNA from 1 species
UACAGAGGGUGCGAGCGUUAAUCGGAGUUACUGGGCGUAAAGGGCGCGUAGGCGGUCGAAUAAGUAGGGUGUGAAAGCCCCGGGCUUAACCUGGGAAGCGCAUCCUAAACUGUUUGACUGGAGUACAGGAGAGGGUAGCGGAAUUUCCGGUGUAGCGGUGAAAUGCGUAGAUAUCGGAAGGAACGUCAGUGGCGAAGGCGGCUACCUGGACUGAUACUGACGCUGAGGCGCGAAAGCGUGGGGAGCAAACAGG